rnacentral:rRNA from 1 species
UGACUGCGUACCUUUUGUAUAAUGGGUCAGCGACUUAUAUUCUGUAGCAAGGUUAACCGUAUAGGGGAGCCGGAGGGAAACCGAGUCUUAAUUGGGCGUUAAGUUGCAGGGUAUAGACCCGAAACCCGGUGAUCUAGCCAUGGGCAGGUUGAAGGUUGGGUAACACUAACUGGAGGACCGAACCGACUAAUGUUGAAAAAUUAGCGGAUGACCUGUGGCUGGGGGUGAAAGGCCAAUCAAACCGGGAGAUAGCUGGUUCUCCCCGAAAGCUAUUUAGGUAGCGCCUCGUGAAUUCAUCUCCGGGGGUAGAGCACUGUUUCGGCUAGGGGGCCAUCCCGGCUUACCAACCCGAUGCAAACUGCGAAUACCGGAGAAUGUUAUCACGGGAGACACACGGCGGGUGCUAACGUCCGUCGUGAAGAGGGAAACAACCCAGACCGCCAGCUAAGGUCCCAAAGUCAUGGUUAAGUGGGAAACGAUGUGGGAAGGCCCAGACAGCCAGGAUGUUGGCUUAGAAGCAGCCAUCAUUUAAAGAAAGCGUAAUAGCUCACUGGUCGAGUCGGCCUGCGCGGAAGAUGUAACGGGGCUAAACCAUGCACCGAAGCUGCGGCAGCGACACUCAGGUGUCGUUGGGUAGGGGAGCGUUCUGUAAGCCUGCGAAGGUGGCCUGUGAGGGUUGCUGGAGGUAUCAGAAGUGCGAAUGCUGACAUAAGUAACGAUAAAGCGGGUGAAAAGCCCGCUCGCCGGAAGACCAAGGGUUCCUGUCCAACGUUAAUCGGGGCAGGGUGAGUCGACCCCUAAGGCGAGGCCGAAAGGCGUAGUCGAUGGGAAACGGGUUAAUAUUCCCGUACUUGGUGUUACUGCGAAGGGGGGACGGAGAAGGCUAUGUUGGCCGGGCGACGGUUGUCCCGGUUUAAGCGUGUAGGUGUGUGUUCCAGGUAAAUCCGGUUCACUUUAACACUGAGGCGUGACGACGAGGCACUACGGUGCUGAAGCAACAAAUGCCCUGCUUCCAGGAAAAGCCUCUAAGCAUCAGGUAACAUCAAAUCGUACCCCAAACCGACACAGGUGGUCAGGUAGAGAAUACCAAGGCGCUUGAGAGAACUCGGGUGAAGGAACUAGGCAAAAUGGUGCCGUAACUUCGGGAGAAGGCACGCUGACACGUAGGUGAAGUGAUUUACUCAUGGAGCUGAAGUCAGUCGAAGAUACCAGCUGGCUGCAACUGUUUAUUAAAAACACAGCACUGUGCAAACACGAAAGUGGACGUAUACGGUGUGACGCCUGCCCGGUGCCGGAAGGUUAAUUGAUGGGGUCAGCGCAAGCGAAGCUCCUGAUCGAAGCCCCGGUAAACGGCGGCCGUAACUAUAACGGUCCUAAGGUAGCGAAAUUCCUUGUCGGGUAAGUUCCGACCUGCACGAAUGGCGUAAUGAUGGCCAGGCUGUCUCCACCCGAGACUCAGUGAAAUUGAACUCGCUGUGAAGAUGCAGUGUACCCGCGGCAAGACGGAAAGACCCCGUGAACCUUUACUAUAGCUUGACACUGAACAUUGAGCCUUGAUGUGUAGGAUAGGUGGGAGGCUUUGAAGUGUGGACGCCAGUCUGCAUGGAGCCGGCCUUGAAAUACCACCCUUUAAUGUUUGAUGUUCUAACGUGGACCCGUGAUCCGGGUUGCGGACAGUGUCUGGUGGGUAGUUUGACUGGGGCGGUCUCCUCCUAAAGAGUAACGGAGGAGCACGAAGGUUGGCUAAUCCUGGUCGGACAUCAGGAGGUUAGUGCAAUGGCAUAAGCCAGCUUGACUGCGAGCGUGACGGCGCGAGCAGGUGCGAAAGCAGGUCAUAGUGAUCCGGUGGUUCUGAAUGGAAGGGCCAUCGCUCAACGGAUAAAAGGUACUCCGGGGAUAACAGGCUGAUACCGCCCAAGAGUUCAUAUCGACGGCGGUGUUUGGCACCUCGAUGUCGGCUCAUCACAUCCUGGGGCUGAAGUAGGUCCCAAGGGUAUGGCUGUUCGCCAUUUAAAGUGGUACGCGAGCUGGGUUUAGAACGUCGUGAGACAGUUCGGUCCCUAUCUGCCGUGGGCGCUGGAGAACUGAGGGGGGCUGCUCCUAGUACGAGAGGACCGGAGUGGACGCAUCACUGGUGUUCGGGUUGUCAUGCCAAUGGCACUGCCCGGUAGCUAAAUGCGGAAGAGAUAAGUGCUGAAAGCAUCUAAGCACGAAACUUGCCCCGAGAUGAGUUCU